GCAAGAAAAUCUGGAGUUUUACGGCACUUCCUAGGUCAUAAUUUAUUUGAAGAUAAUUCCUAUGACAUUAUUAUUUUCGGAGGUCAAGGCCGAGUCAGCUCCAUUGGUCUGGAUGGAACGAUCCAUUGGCAAACCAUGACUGAAUCAAAAUGGGGAGAUAUCUCUCUGAAUAUUAGAAGAUCAGGACGCCCAACUCCUGACAACCUCAAAGAAGAAUUCAUGUUGUCAUUCCAGCCUGGCCGCAUCAUCAUGCCUCUCCAUGACGGCGGAGCUAAGGUUUUUAUCGUAAUCUAUUCACAAGACAGUAAAACCCAGAAAUAAUUUUGA
rnacentral:sRNA from 1 species